GCCAGGUAAGGACCCACUAUAAAAGGGGCUGCUUGCCCCCUCCUCUCUCUCUUGCUUCCUCUCUUUCCCCUUCCCCUUCCCCUCUCUCCACGUGCUCAUGGCCGGCCUCUAUUCUCCCCCUCCUCCCCCUCCUCCUCCUCUUCCUCCUCCUCCUCCUCCUCUUCCUCCUCCUCCUCCUCACCUCUUCUCUCUCUCUCUCUCUCUCUCUCUCUCUCUUUCUCUCUUUAUCUCUCUCUGCCUUUCUCUGCCUCUACUACUCUUUUAACUCCCCUCCCAUGCCCCCUGAAUAAACUCUAUUCUAUACUAUACUGUCCUGUGUGGCUAGUCCCUCAGGGGGAAGGGAUGCCUCGGCAUAGGCCUAUUGAGACAUCCCCUUCCCCCAUACCUCAUCACACUCCCAUAGAACAUAACCCCCAUCUCUUUAUCUUUUAUAAACACAUCAACAUCCAUCUAUCAGAAUAUGAAAUGAGUCAGCAUCUCAAUAUCAUUUCCAAUGUGAGUGAAGAAAUACUAUAAAAGCUACAUGCAUCCAUAAGACAAAGCAUGCGGUUCUUCCUCUACUUGGACGCUGUACUUCUCCAUCCUUCAAGUUUCAGCUCAAGCAGAAGCAUCCUCAGAAAGCCCUCGGAGAUCCACAUUAGGCCACGCACCUACUGAGCCUCUUAUUAGCAUGUAAACCUUCUUAGCUACCUCUCCAGCACCAUGCCUGCCUGUGUGUUCUCGUGCUCCACCAGGAUGAUAAUAGUCUAACCUUCUGAAAUGCAAUCACGGGCUGGCGUGCAUACUCGGACCUCUGACAGGGAAGCUAUGGAAGAAGACAACUCAGUUUCUGAUGCUUUCUUUACUCAAACCCUCCAGAAUUAAAUGAGAGGUUUUCAGCAAUGGGCAGGCCACACAGUGAUUACAUUUGAAUUUUGCUCCAUAGCCAGUAAAUAAAAUGUUGCACCUGGAUAACUCUGUGCUCCGUCAAAUGCAGUUCAAAGCAGCCAAGAUACACAUAGAGGCAGAAAGUAAUGUUAGGUCAACACACUCACCCAAGAAAGAGCAUGGGUAUAAGAGAAUUGGGUCGAGCAGAAAGAAGUGUACUCCUACAGUGAUGUAGUGCUGCAGGAAAAUGACCGACAGAAUGAUAGCAAUGGAUGCUUUCACAAUCACUGCCAGCCAACAUCAUUGUGGUGGUUUGAAUUUACUUGCCCCCUAGGGAGUGGCACUGUUGGGAGGUGUGGCCUAGAAGGAAGAAGUCUGUCACCCUGGGGGUGGACUUUGAGAUCCUCCUCCUAGUUCCUUGCAAGACAGUCUUCUCCCGUUUGACUUUGGAACAAGAUGAAGAACUCUCAGCUCCUCCAGCACCAUGCCUGCCAUGCUCCCGCCUUGAUGGUAAUGGACUGAACCUCUGAACCUGUAAGCCAGCCCCAAUUAAAC
rnacentral:lncRNA from 1 species